AGUGAACGCUGGCGGUAGGCCUAACACAUGCAAGUCGAACGGCAGCACAGUAAGAGCUUGCUCUUACGGGUGGCGAGUGGCGGACGGGUGAGGAAUACAUCGGAAUCUACUUUUUCGUGGGGGAUAACGUAGGGAAACUUACGCUAAUACCGCAUACGACCUACGGGUGAAAGCAGGGGAUCUUCGGACCUUGCGCGAUUGAAUGAGCCGAUGUCGGAUUAGCUAGUUGGCGGGGUAAAGGCCCACCAAGGCGACGAUCCGUAGCUGGUCUGAGAGGAUGAUCAGCCACACUGGAACUGAGACACGGUCCAGACUCCUACGGGAGGCAGCAGUGGGGAAUAUUGGACAAUGGGCGCAAGCCUGAUCCAGCCAUACCGCGUGGGUGAAGAAGGCCUUCGGGUUGUAAAGCACUUUUGUUGGGAAAGAAAAGCAGCAGGUUAAUACCCCGCUGUUCUGACGGUACCCAAAGAAUAAGCAUCGGCUAACUUCGUG
rnacentral:rRNA from 1 species